rnacentral:rRNA from 1 species
GCACAAGCGGUGGAGCAUGUGGUUUAAUUCGACGCAACGCGAAGAACCUUACCUGGGCUCGAAAUGUAGUGGAUCGGGGUAGAAAUAUCCCUUCCUAGCAAUAGGUCGCUAUAUAGGUGCUGCAUGGCUGUCGUCAGCUCGUGUCGUGAGAUGUUGGGUUAAGUCCCGCAACGAGCGCAACCCUUAUCUCCAGUUGCCAUCAUUCAGUUGGGCACUCUGGCGAAACCGCCUCGGAUAACGGGGAGGAAGGUGGGGAUGACGUCAAGUCCUCAUGGCCUUUAUGUCCAGGGCUACACACGUGCUACAAUGGCCGGUAUAAACCGCUGCAAACCCGCGAGGGGGAGCUAAUCGGAAAAAGCCGGCCUCAGUUCGGAUUGCAGUCUGCAACUCGACUGCAUGAAGCUGGAAUCGCUAGUAAUCGCAGAUCAGAAUGCUGCGGUGAAUACGUUCCCGGGC